rnacentral:rRNA from 1 species
GAUGAACGCUGGCGGCGUGCCUAAUACAUGCAAGUCGAGCGAACGGACGAGAAGCUUGCUUCUCUGAUGUUAGCGGCGGACGGGUGAGUAACACGUGGAUAACCUACCUAUAAGACUGGGAUAACUUCGGGAAACCGGAGCUAAUACCGGAUGAUAUUUUGAACCGCAUGGUUCAAAAGUGAAUGACGGUCUUGCUGUCACUUAUAGAUGGAUCCGCGCUGCAUUAGCUAGUUGGUAAUGUAACGGCUUACCAAGGCAACGAUGCAUAGCCGACCUGAGGGGGUGAUCGGCCACACUGGAACUGAGACACGGUCCAGGCUCCUACGGGAGGCAGCAGUAGGGAAUCUUCCGCAAUGGGCGAAAGCCUGACGGAGCAACGCCGCGUGAGUGAUGAAGGUCUUCGGAUCGUAAAACUCUGUUAUUAGGGAAGAACAUAUGUGUAAGUAACUGUGCACAUCUUGACGGUACCUAAUCAGAAAGCCACGGCUAACUACGUG